CCCUUAGAGUUUGAUCCUGGCUCAGAACGAACGCUGGCGGCAUGCCUAACACAUGCAAGUCGAACGAGACCUUCGGGUCUAGUGGCGCACGGGUGCGUAACGCGUGGGAAUCUGCCCUUGGGUUCGGGAUAACAGUUGGAAACGACUGCUAAUACCGGAUGAUGACUUCGGUCCAAAGAUUUAUCGCCCAGGGAUGAGCCCGCGUAGGAUUAGCUUGUUGGUGAGGUAAGAGCUCACCAAGGCGACGAUCCUUAGCUGGUCUGAGAGGAUGAUCAGCCACACUGGGACUGAGACACGGCCCAGACUCCUACGGGAGGCAGCAGUGGGGAAUAUUGGACAAUGGGCGAAAGCCUGAUCCAGCAAUGCCGCGUGAGUGAUGAAGGCCUUAGGGUUGUAAAGCUCUUUUACCCGGGAUGAUAAUGACAGUACCGGGAGAAUAAGCCCCGGCUAACUCCGUGCCAGCAGCCGCGGUAAUACGGAGGGGGCUAGCGUUGUUCGGAAUUACUGGGCGUAAAGCGCGCGUAGGCGGCUUUGUAAGUUAGAGGUGAAAGCCUGGAGCUCAACUCCGGAAUUGCCUUUAAGACUGCAUCGCUAGAAUCGUGGAGAGGUGAGUGGAAUUCCGAGUGUAGAGGUGAAAUUCGUAGAUAUUCGGAAGAACACCAGUGGCGAAAGCGACUCACUGGACAUGUAUUGACGCUGAGGUGCGAAAGCGUGGGGAGCAA
rnacentral:rRNA from 1 species